UACAGAGACUGCAAGCGUUAUUCGGAUUCACUGGGCGUAAAGGGUGCGCAGGCGGCCAAGUGUGUUAGGCGUGAAAGCCCGGGGCUUAACCCCGGAAUUGCACCUAAAACUACAUGGCUAGAGCAUUGGAGAGGGUAGCAGAAUUCAUGGUGUAGCAGUGAAAUGCGUAGAUAUCGAGAGGAACACCAGUGGCGAAGGCGAGUCCCUGGACAACACCUGACACUGAGGCACGAAAGCUAGGGGAGCAAACAGG
rnacentral:rRNA from 1 species